rnacentral:rRNA from 1 species
UACGUAGGGUCCGAGCGUUGUCCGGAAUUAUUGGGCGUAAAGAGCUCGUAGGCGGUUUGUCGCGUCUGCUGUGAAAUCCCGAGGCUCAACCUCGGCCUGCAGCCGAUACGGGCAGACUAGAGUUCGGCAGGGAGACUGGAAUCCUGGUGUAGCGGUGAAUGCGCAGAUAUCAGGAGGAACACCGGUGGGCCGAAGGCGGGUCUCUGGGCCGUUCCUGACGCGUGAGACGGCGAAAAGCUAGGGGAGCAAACGGG